GGCGGCGAACCUUAUGAACAGAGCAAUCUCCUGAGGAAUUUCUCUGCGCCGGCGGCAUCUCCGUCGAGCGAAAACCCUAGCUCCGAUUCGAUUAAACCAAAACGAAGGAAGAAGAAGAACUUAAUAGAGGUCGCUCAGUUCUUACCCAAUUGGGGAAUCGGAUACCAUAUGGCUAAAGCUCAUUGGAACGGAGUCUCUUAUGAAAUCACUAAGAUCAACCUCUACAAGGAUGGUAAUUGGUAGGCAUGGCAAAGCGUGGGGGAUUGUUCACAAAGAUGGCUUGCGAGCUGGGGAAGCUCCAAAGAAGAUAAGUGGAGUUCACAAGCGCUGCUGGAAGUAUAUUCCUAACCUGUCAAAGACCACGCCUGCAACCGCCUCCGAAGCCCAAGCUGCCUGAUCUGUUUUACUUCCAUUGUUACUUGAUAUGUCCCUUUGAAUUCGUUGAUAAAUCUGCAAUCUUCGGAUGCUGAUCUGUUUCAGGUUCUUCUUAUUAAAGACUUUUGCGCUUCUUGGGAUGGAUUUUGAUGUGCCUCCAUGACUGAGUCUACCCCCUGAAUUACCAGCUGUGUAGGGCUAUGUUGUCAUUGAGAGCCGAUCAGGUUCUGGUUCAUGUCAAACUCUUUUUAGUCUUCGUAACUUUUUGUCGUGUGACUUUAUCGAAGCUGUUGUUUUGUUUAAAGUUUGGAGAUACACACGCUUGGUUAUUCAUCUAUAUUAUACAAUAAAUUGUUUUGUUAUAUA